UGGGGAAUAUUGGACAAUGGGCGGAAGCCUGAUCCAGCAACGCCGCGUGAGGGAUGACGGCCUUCGGGUUGUAAACCUCUUUCAGUACCGACGAAGCGAAAGUGACGGUAGGUACAGAAGAAGGACCGGCCAACUACGUGCCAGCAGCCGCGGUAAUACGUAGGGUCCGAGCGUUGUCCGGAAUUAUUGGGCGUAAAGGGCUCGUAGGCGGUUUGUCGCGUCGGGAGUGAAAACAGCGGGCUUAACUCGUUGCUUGCUUUCGAUACGGGCAGACUAGAGGUAUGCAGGGGAGAAUGGAAUUCCUGGUGUAGCGGUGAAAUGCGCAGAUAUCAGGAAGGAACACCGGUGGCGAAGGCGGUUCUCUGGGCAUUACCUGACGCUGAGGAGCGAAAAGUGUGGGGAGCGAACAGGAUUAGAUCCCUGGUAGUCCACACCCGUAAAACGUUGGGCGCUAGGUGUGGGGUCCUUUCCACGGAUUCCGUGCCGUAGCUAACGCAUUAAGCGCCCCGCCUGGGGAGUACGG
rnacentral:rRNA from 1 species